rnacentral:rRNA from 1 species
AGAGUUUGAUCCUGGCUCAGAAUCAACGCUGGCGGCGUGCCUAACACAUGCAAGUCGAACGCGAAAGGGGCUUCGGCCCUGAGUAGAGUGGCAGACGGGUGAGUAACGCGUGGAUGACCUACCCUCGAGCGGGGGAUAACGUUUCGAAAGGAACGCUAAUACCGCAUGAUGUCCUGCCUUUGAAGAGGCGGUGACCAAAGCCGGGGACCGCAAGGCCUGGCACUUGAGGAGGGGUUCGCGUCCGAUUAGCUAGUUGGUGAGGUAACGGCUCACCAAGGCUUCGAUCGGUAGCCGGCCUGAGAGGGCGGACGGCCACACUGGGACUGAGACACGGCCCAGACUCCUACGGGAGGCAGCAGUGGGGAAUUGUUCGCAAUGGGCGCAAGCCUGACGACGCAACGCCGCGUGGAGGAUGAAGAUUUUCGGAUCGUAAACUCCUGUCGAAUGGGACGAAUGGCUCGGCCGUGAAUAACGGUCGGGAAUGACGGUACCGUGAGAGGAAGCCCCGGCUAACUCCGUGCCAGCAGCCGCGGUAAUACGGGGGGGGCGAGCGUUGUUCGGAAUUACUGGGCGUAAAGGGCUCGUAGGCGGCCUUCUAAGUCAGACGUGAAAUCCCUCGGCUCAACCGGGGAACUGCGUCUGAUACUGGGAGGCUUGAAUCCGGGAGAGGGACGUGGAAUUCCAGGUGUAGCGGUGAAAUGCGUAGAUAUCUGGAGGAACACCGGUGGCGAAGGCGGCGUCCUGGACCGGUAUUGACGCUGAGGAGCGAAAGCCAGGGGAGCAAACGGGAUUAGAUACCC